rnacentral:rRNA from 1 species
UACGUAGGUGGCAAGCGUUGUCCGGAUUUAUUGGGUUUAAAGGGUGCGUAGGCGGUCCUAUAAGUCAGUGCUGAAGUAUCCCGGCUUAACCGGGAGGGUGGCAUUGAUACUGUUGGUCUUGAGUAAAGUUGAGGUUGGCGGAAUUGACGGUGUAGCGGUGAAAUGCUUAGAUAUCGUCAAGAACACCUAUUGCGAAGGCAGCUAACUAAGCUUUAACUGACGCUGAGGCACGAAAGUGUGGGGAUCAAACAGG